CAUUUUUACUAUCUUUCCAGGGACGAUAACGCUACCACUUCCGGUUUUAUGUCAAACGUGAAUUUGACAGACAAAGACGAGACAAUGUUAUAGCGAAUCCGCUUGUUCUAAUGCAUCGCGGGAACCACAUCUUGCUGUCUGCAGGUUUAGGACAGAGAAUAUGUCACAAACAACGUCUGCACAUUGUGGCAAAUUUUGGUAUCAAAACGGCGGCACGUUACUGUGCAGUUUGAUGUGACUCACAACUCACAUUGUAUUUUUUAACCCGGCGUUGAACCGGCUUCACUUGGUUUUUCGAAAAUUUUCCAGCGUGCUGUGAUUGUACGUUGCAACAAAUGUGUUGCAAAUUUGAUUCUACUUGUUAUUUUAUAUUUAUGUGACCGACUUGUAAAAUGAUGCGAAAAUUAGCUGCAACGGAUUUUACAAGUACUACUGGCUACUUCGAUGACAGUUACUACAAUGGUGGCCAUAGGGAAGUACACACAGGACCAUCUCUGGUUCUCAUCGUGGGUCUCACCAUGGCAUUUGUGGGAGCAGCCAUAUUGAUAGUGGUCAUCUGCUGUGUAUGCAGGAAGCGCCAGCCUCCAGAUUCCCAAGGCGCCAUGUACGAACGGGCAGCAACAUCGGACGGCCAGAGCGUGGUCACCUCCUACCCCCUUGGUCCAGUAACAACAGGUAGUGCUCAGUCCACCCAGUCUGGCAUGACUGUUUCCAAGACAACGUCAACCGCUGCGUCUCAAAUGUCCAGUGGAGGCCCCCCGAUGCCUCAACCACCACAGCCUGGUCAGAUGUAUGGAGGCCACCCAGGACACCCCGGACACCCUGGACACCCCGGACACCCCGGACACCAGCCUUACCCAGGGUACCCUAACGCAGCUAACAUGGGCCCUCCCUACAUGUACCAAGUCCCUCAGCCUACCUUCCAGCCAAUGACAACUCUGGCUGUGUUUGGUGCCCCGGACGGUGCCCCCCCGGAGAACUCCCAGGCCAACACCUCUGGGGGAACACCCAUGCCAUACUCUCUGUACUCCCCUGGACCAGGGGAGAUGAAGCAGCCUUUGCCACAGGGGGUGCCACAUCAUUUACAGCAAGAAUUUCAGCGCCAAGUUAAUAUGGCCACUCAGCAAUACAACACAAACCAGCAGCAAUCUUCUGAGUUUCCACGGCAACAAGCCACUGCCCCGCCUCCACCUGCUCCCAUGUAGAUGUUUUAGGCAGCUUUUAUGUAUUUGAACCUUGUUUGACGACUUAAAUUUGUGUAUAUAAACUCUGAAUGCAACAGUGGGUGUUACACACCGUAGUGACCCAUGAGAUAAUUGGCCAUAUUGCUGUAUGUGGUUCCUGGGAGGUUUAUAUUUCAUAAUGCAAUAUUGGGUUGAUAUGCCAUUUUGCUAUAUGGCUUUCUAGCUCACCUGGACUCAAAUUCCAGUGAGUAUAUUUCCUGGUCUAACUGUUGUUGGUCAUACAUCAUCAAUUUAAUCAACAUCACUUUUUGGGAAGGGUUGAUGAUGCUUCAAAAGCAUAUGGUAAAUCUAUCUCUGUGUACAUGUAUGCCGCUGCUUUGAAACAGAUAUGGUGUCAUUUUGAAAUCUUGAAAUAACUGUGAUAUUAUAUGACCAGGUGAGCUUCAAAGUCAUGGCGCUGUUUUAUAUGCUGUGUUUCCAACUGAUGUUUUUAUGACAAUGACAUGGGGUUUAUAUGUCAUAUUAACACAAUUGUAAUACCAUCCUUCCGGGCAUAGCCAUAUGGCCAUGUGACCAGGUUGUGUGUCAUGUGACAGGUCAUGUGAUUACAGUGAUCAUGUGACAUCAUGUGAUUGCCGAUGGAUUUGAUCAUGGUGCUUUUUCAUAUACCCGUUUGGAGUCACAAUACAAUAUUUUUAUGGUGCAUGCAAGAGAUGUCUCAGACUACAUUCACCAGUCUAUAGUUUCACAGUGUUUAUAGUUUUUACAUGGUCACAAUAAGCAUAACUGAAUAUACAUGUACUAAUUUGGGUUAGCCAUCUUACAAGUGUAGACAUAUAGAUAAAAUGUGUUGGGAAAAGGGAAUUAAUGGCAGUAAAGAGUUUGGCAUGUUGUAUGUUGACGAAGAUUUAAUGAAAGCAAUAAUGUCAUUGUGUAUCAGGGUGUCUCGGGGUGUCCACUGAUAUGUGACAGUAACUCUUGUUAUUAUGGUCGACUGUUUCCACCAGUGAACAUAAAGCUUACAGGAUAAAGGAAGGAUGCAUCAUUAAAUUUGUAAUAAAUUCUUAUUUCAUGGUACCAUGUCACCAAAUUAGUAAGUCAUAGAGUCAAUAUACUUUAACUUUUGCAAACCUAUACAGUUUCUUAACAUACAAAUUACAGAUUGCUUCAGUGGAAAGAUGGAAUAAGCGUGCACCCUACAUUCAGACAAAGUUUCCGUGUAUGUUCAUUUAUUUUGAAUGACCAGAUAUUCUUAAAUAAAUAUUUCCCUGUUACUUACUUUAUUGAGUGGAUUCCUUGGCUAGGCCCCAGAGAACUUUGUGCAACAGCUAGAUGCAGCCAGGGAGCUUGUACUGCUGUGUAAAGUGUCAAGGCAGUGUAAUUAUACCUAGCUAGUGUCAGCUCUACACAGUGAAGUAGUGGCACUGGUUCAAGCCCUGUGGACAAUAUUUAAAAUUAAACAUUGUUUAUUUAUGUCAAUGUUUAAUUUCAUGUACAGACAUUUUAAACCUUUGUACAAAGUUCUGUGUUAAUGGUGUUUUAGUUUGUGUUGUCGUCUUCUGUUUUUAUCAUCCUAGAUUUGUGUUCUUCAUAUGAAAUACCUCAUGACUGGGUAGCAUUACACACAAUAUCAAAAACAAGCCAAAAUGUUUGUUUUUUUAUUUCACUUGAUUUUCACGUACCAUUGUCGUUUUUUACUCCAGCGAAAACAACACCCCUGUUAUGGAGAUAAUGUCACUAGUGAUUUUUACAUUAAUUUUUUUAUAUUAAAGUGGUGUUUUCUUCACUCAUAAAGAACAUUUGAAUGGUUUACAUCGUGUUUGGUAUUACUUGAGUUGUCGAGCUGCUUUGUGGUGUACAGUGCUUGACAAUUUCUUGUAACUAAAAAAUGUAACAUGACAUGGUGAUGCAUUGUCAUUCCUACUGAGGAGUCAUUCAGGAGAGCCAGUAUAACACCAGUAUAACACCAGUAUAACACCAGAUUAGACUGACAAAACAAUUGAGUUCAUUGUGUUUCCAUAACACAGCAAUAAGGAAAGUUGUGAAGAUUUUUGGUUCUCAGUUCUCCCCAGCAGAGUUACCUCCCCUGACUUCAUUUUCAUCUUUGUUUCAUAGUGUGUAACCAAAGAUACUCUCUUUGUAUAAAUAUUUAACCAAAGAUUUGUGGUGUGACAUGAAGUAUUAGUUUAGAGUAAUUUCUUGCCCAUGGUUGGUUCAUGAAGAGUUUUUCAGGUUUGGUGUGAUGGUCAGUGAAUCCUUCAUAGUUCAUUAUCUCAUGUGUUAUAUCUUGAUUAUUACCCGGAGAAGUACCCUGGACCCAUACACUUUGUCUCCAGGAGAACUUGAAUGGCAAUAUGCUUAAAGGGGACAUGCUGACAAACGUUUUGUGUUGUUGGCAGUGACAAGGUACAGGAUGUAUGUUGCUAUAGAAGUGAGGUUUAACACUGGAUUAUUGAGCAAUUAUAUCUAUAGACAAAGUUAGCUCUUAAAGUAAAUGUGAAUUGAAAAAUUAGCUAAAAACUACUAAAAUUAUUAAACAUGUAAUUUUUCAGUAUUAGAUGAUAAAAUUGAACAAGUAAUUGAUAUACAUUAUUUUAUCUACAGACAAUAUGUGUCACUUAAUAUACUGUAUUAUGAAAUUUUGGUGAGAUGUUCGUAUAAAUCAUGAAAUAAAUUUAUACUUAAAAAAUGAAAACAAAUAUAAUUAAAUUUGUUUGGGAAAUUUUAAAAAUAAUAUUAUCCAUCUGACCUACAUUUAUAAAAAUAUGGGGUAAGUGUGCCUGUCGUGUAUGGGGUCAUUUAAGAAUGAUGUCCAACUGUUGUUUUUUGUUACAAUUAUGGGCAUUUUCAUUCUGAUUUGUUAGAAAUAUGUGCAAGCUUGAAAGCUUUCUGUGUUGCGUGUGUCAUUCAAGAACUGUUUCAUUGCUUAUUAUACAUCAAGUCCUAUUUUGCAUGUAUGUGCUAACAUUUAUCAUUGUCUUACCAUCAUCCUUCUUGUUCACUGCAGUCUCUUGUAAGACAAAACCUGACUGCUAGGACGGCCACUUUUACAAUUUAGCUUGGAUCUCGUCAAGAUAGAAAUAUGAGGCUGAACUGGUGUAUUGUCUUGGCGUGUAUUUACGUGACAGUUUUCUGACAUUGAAGUGUAUAUGGAUUUAGUUUCAGGAAGCUCUCUACCCUCUUAAUCUCUAGGGCUGCCAUUUCAGUAAACUUACAGUAAGCCCUGGAUCAUUUCCAUGUUUCAUGCGAUCACAAAUUGGCCACCCUUAUUUUCACCAACCAGUUUGAUUAGCUACAGAAAGCAUGUCUUCGUGUCCAUUACAACUGGCACUGACAAGUCCAUACCCAUUUCUGUACCUAGGGGUUUGAUUGGUCAGUAGAAUGGUAGUGAAAAUAAAGGGCAGGUAGUCUGAGAUUUUGAGAACCUUGAUAAUAGAUGAGGGUUUCAUGUAGGUAAACAAGAUGUUAGUCCCGGCAGUGUGGAGCUGAAAUAGGGAGGCCAGUUUUAAGUAUGAAUGUUGAGUAUUCAGAAUAACAUGUAGCAGUUCUUGUUUUGAUAUUAGAUAAUAAUUGAAAUAAGAAAGACAGUAAAACUUGGCAUUGUGUAUUUCAUAGUAAAACGUGACAUGAUUAUAAGAUGUAAAACUGUUUAACUUGCUAGGACUUCAUGAUCUGAUCCGUUGUUUACAUGUCAGGGUUGUGUUGGCCAGUCCAGGAAAUAUAUCCCUCCAAUUUUUGUAGUAUAUUUACAAAUGGUCAGUUUUAUUUACUUUUUACAUUGUACUUGUACAGAAGUCUCUUGUUGUGGAGGUAAAGCUUAUGUUUUAAAGAGCAAAUCUGUACCAGAUUUAUGUGUUCUUUUCAUUUUGAUGUGAAAUUACUGUCUUAUUUUUUAACAAAUGGCACUUUACCGUUCCUUAUGAAUUGAAUUGAAAUAUGAUUUGUAUUCUGUCUAAUUUUACAUUUUUUGUGUUGAAAUGAUGUGAUUUAUAAGUCAAAAGUUAUACUGUCAAUACAAACCGAAGUUGUUCAACUCAUAGUAAGUCAUGACAGACACAUGGAUGGAAGUAAUAUAAAAAUUGGAUGGUCCUUAACAUCUUGUGAGUGGUAUACAAGUCUUUUGGUUUGAAUCUAAAUUUGGAUUCUGAUGCAAUAGUGAUAUGGCCAAUAUGUGGUCAGGUCUAGAGAAAAUCUACAACAGAGAAAACCAGUAAUAACUUAAAAAUCACUGUUGAAAUAAGCUCCUGUCCAUGGCAGAUCUUGUAUUGGGCCAUAGGUUCAAAUAUAUGUGGCCUGCUGUAAAUUUAUCAGUCAUUAUAUGUGUCACAAUAAGCUGCAGUGUUUAACAUGAGAGCCUGAAGGGUUUAAUCAGGGCCUGCUGCUUCUAAAGUCUGCAGGUCCUACUGGCAGCCCGACAAUUGUUUUUGUUUCCGACACUGUUACAAAGUAAGAUAUAUUGCUGCCUAUGGUGUUAAUGCCCCUGCUCAUGUAGAGCUACAAUGUUGCUAUGCUGCUGUAACUGUAGUAUAGACCAGCUACCAGUGUGAUAACUUGCCUUAUAGCACAUGCUAACUAUGCUUGGAUGUAGCGUCAGAUGAUAGUUGGUUCUAGUAUAUACUUGUGCAAUCCCUAGGCUAGAUCAGGUGUAGAACAGAGUAGCAUUUAGAAGAAACUUACACCGCUACAGUUGCAGAAGUUCAUCAUCCAUACUACUUGUCAUUAGGACUCUUGUUAAAUUGUCAUCCAUAACUUCAUGUAUUUCACCUUGUACAUUAGUUUGUUUUGAUGUACACGGUAGUAUAUUUGGAACUGGAGUGUACUGUGGUGGAAAGUGUAUGGCAUGACACCAAACCUUGGUCAUGCUAAUUGAAAUUUCAGAUUUACUUUCUAAUUUUUAAACAAUAUUUGGCCUUCCUCACCUCUUUCUAACCUACAAAUUAGCUUCAAGAUUAUUUUUUUAAUUAUUAAUGUUUUGAUAAAACUGCAUCAUAUUUGAAAAUGAAACCUAAAGAGAUAUUAUGUAUAAUUCCAACAUGUUUCCUUUGAUAGGACCCCCCCUCCUCAGAAAUAUUGGAUGAGUGUAAUCCCUUCCAAAAAGAUCUUGCUUAUGACAGAAUCCAGUUUAGGUGUAAGCAUCCUGGGUGAUCUCCCUUACCCAGUGUGGCAAUGCUGGAUUAGGCACAUGUUGGAGCAAGGCCAAAGUAUGUCAAGUUGGUCCGAUAUUUCAUGAUAUGCUAUAGCACCUGAUUUAGCCUAAUUGUCAAGGAUCCCAGUAUUUGAGGUUUGUGUGAUGUGACAGCUGAUACCUGCCAUGUGUGUUGUGUUGUUGAUGGUUCAGCUGUACAACAUCUAGCAUUAACAUGCAGUCAUACCACUCCUGGAUGUCUUGUGUCUUGUGUGUCUGUGUAUAUACAACCACUUUCUGUCCAAAUGUCCUUUAGAAUUUGUUUCAUCUCUCAAAGUCUUUUGAAAAGAACUUAACUGUAGCAGAAGGGCCUGUUGUCGUACAGGAUACAAUAGAAAUGAACCCUGGCCAGAUCUAUGUAUAAAGAAAUGAUGUGUCCCAACUGAGCAUUACACUGAAACCACUGGGUGAGUCCUUGUAACAGGUGCUUGGUCUGUUUCACUGUCUGUAACCAUUUGUGAUCCUCUCUGCUCAGCUGUUUCGAUAAUUCAAAAACCAUAAACAAAGCUAAGCUAGAUUUUCUCAGGUUCAGGAUCUCCCAACUCACUGGGCUCCUUGUCAGUUUUACUAGAGUUACGUGCAUCUGUCAAAAUGAUAUAUUUUUAGAGAUGAAGUGUUAGUAUACCAGUUGCAAUGCAGACUUGUAGAAUGUCAAGAUGCAUGUGUUAGAGAUGGAAAAGUCUGUUCAAAACAGGAAAAUUAGCAAUCAUGAAUAUAUCUGGAGAUAUUUGAUAUUUAUGUGCUGCAUUUAAAACGUUUCAGUGCUGUGUAUUGGUUAGCUAGGGUAUAUUUCUGUAUUACCAUUCAGCCAAGGGACAUUUCUUUUGUUCCCCUUUUAACAACAACCCUUCAGCAUUACAUCCCAUGUGUAAAGCUUGGAUAUAUUCAACAUGUACAGAUGUGUAUCCUGCUUUGUUACCUGACUUCAGGUGGUGAAAAUAUCCAGUCAACUCCUAGAGGAUGUGGAGAGAUGGGAGUUGAGGCUGGUAGGAGUUACGGCUAUGGGCUUAGAUAGGGUAGGGUGUUAUGUGUUAGUAUUGUUAAGGAAAGGUUUAACAUAUCGGUAGACUUAAGACAGGAAAGUGGAAUAUUGGAUAUAUCAGGAAGGGAGUAAUGUGGGAUACAAUGUAUUGAAAGCAAACACGCAUAAUGGACAAGGGAAAGAAUGGGAUAUGGGAUUAAGAAAGUAUGGGAUAUGGGGUUAAGAAAGCAUGGGAUAUGGGGUUAAAAAGUAUGGGGUAUGGGGUUUAGAAAGUAUGGGAUAUCUAAUGAAUACAUUGUGAGAGUCUAAAUGUAUAUGGGUUCAGAAAACAGUUGGAUGUGGAAUAUAACCUGGAUAAAGGAAUAUGGGAAAAGGAAGCCAGGUAUGCUAUAUGCUGAAAGUAUGAGUUGACUUACAGGGUGCCAGCCAUUAUGCGUUUUGUAUUACAAAAUACAGCCAGAAUAUAGGUGGGUAUGGGUAAAUGUUAUUAACAGGAGAAAGGGUUAUGGGGUAGACCGACUCAGAUAAGGGGCAAGUGUCUCUAGCCCUGAGUGACUAUGCAGUGCAAGUUAAUUGUCUGAAAUCCAUCUUAAUGCCAACAGCAAACCAUAUCUCUUUUCACAUAUUGCUCUUUUCUAUGUAUUUUUAUAAUGCUCGCAUAGUUUUGACUGUGUAGUUUUAUAUGCUAUUUUAGACAUUGUAUUUUUAAACAAUGAAAAUGUGACUUUCUUUUUGAGGCUUUUAAAGCCAUAUUUAUUACAGCCUGUAUGUAAUAAACAAAAGUCUUUGUAACAGA
rnacentral:misc_RNA from 1 species